rnacentral:lncRNA from 1 species
UGAAAUAUACACUCCGUAUAGUUUAACCAUGCAAUAAUAUAAUACUACAGUAUUACUUAUAUAUAAAAUACAUAUAUCCUAAAAUAACACUUUACCACACAUACAUGUGCUGAUUAAGGUCCAUUUAGUGGCAACUUUACAUGUGAGUUUUUUUCAUAAGAAACAUACAUGGGCUGAUUGGGAUCUUUCAGUGGUAAGUUUACUUAUGACUUUUUUCAUCUGAUACAUACAGGGGCUGAAUUAGGUCUUUCAGUGAUACACUAUUGUGCUGUUAUUCUCUGGUAGAGGAGACAUUUAUAUUUUAUUGUAAUCAUCAUGUCAAGUGGUUUUCAUGCAGAGAUAUAUUAAGUUAACCCCCC